rnacentral:lncRNA from 1 species
UUAGAGAGGAGCCUCUUCCUUCCAGUGCCCACAACCCUAACCACAAUUAAAAGACCCUUGGAUUGACAACUCUUUCUUUCUCCCUUAAACCCAAAUAGCUCUUUCUUCUUAACAAUUUUAACACUAAUUUCAAUCAAAUGAUAAAUUUUCCGGUGCAAUACUAACUUGAUGUUGAAGGAUUCAAGUGAGAGUGUUGAUUCUGGAAGUCUUCCCUCAAUCCAGAAUUUUAUUAAUUUAAAGUAUUCUUUGUUUUAUUGUUGAUUUUAUUUAGUGAAACUUUCAUGAUUAUUGUUGUCUAUGAAUAAAAAGAUGAAGAAUAUUGGUGAUUUAUCUUUCCAGGAAAUGCAACAUGUGACCUUAACAACACCACAAGAGAGUCAAGCUUCUGAACAAGCACAACAAUUCAUUGAUGAUGAAUGGGCCGACAAGGUAAAGAGGAAAACGAAGAUGAAGAUGGCUAGCCAAUUUUGAGGUCGAAGGUGAUAUCAGAAUUUAAGACUAGGUUUUGACAAAAAAAUGAAGGCUAAGAAGGCUAGCAUGAGAAUACUUUUAGGAGAAUUAAACAUGUUUUUGUUGUGACUAAUUCAAGACUUAGCUUAGUAGUUGGAUAAUCUUGUAUUGAUUCACUCUUAAUAUUUUUAAUUGUGCUUAAGAAAGGGUGAAAUACAUUGUGACUAAAUAAGUUAUUUUGAAAUUAACUUAUUUGGUAAUGACUUGUUAAUAAGUGUUAUGUAAGAUACAUGUUGAAUCUAUAUAUUCUAAAGACUUAUGUUAUGCUGAG